rnacentral:rRNA from 1 species
CAGCACCUCAAGUGGUCAGGAUGAUUAUUGGGCCUAAAGCAUCCGUAGCCUGCUUUGUAAGUUUUCGGUUAAAUCCAUACGCUCAACGUAUGGGCUGCCGGGAAUACUGCAAAGCUAGGGAGUGGGAGAGGUAGACGGUACUCGGUAGGAAGGGGUAAAAUCCUUUGAUCUAUUGAUGACCACCUGUGGCGAAGGCGGUCUACCAGAACACGUCCGACGGUGAGGGAUGAAAGCUGGGGGAGCAAACCGGAUUAGAUACCCGAGUAGUCC